rnacentral:rRNA from 1 species
GACGAACGCUGGCGGCGCGCUUAACACAUGCAAGUCGAGCGAAGCGGCGGUCGGUUGAGUAACACGUGAGUAACCUGCCUUAGACAUUGGGAUAGCCUCGGGUAACCGGGACUAAUACCAAAUGGUCUAAGAUGGACUCGCGUCGCAUUAGCUAGUUGGUGAGGUAACGGCCCACCAAGGCGACGAUGGGUAGCCGGGCUGAGAGGAUGAACGGCCACAUUGGAACUGAGAAACAGUCGAAACUCUACGGGAGGCAGCAGUGGGUAAUAUUGCACAAUGGAGGGAACUCUGAUGCAGCGACGCCGCGAGAGCGCAGAAGGCUUUCGAGUCGUAAAGUUCUUUUAUAUGGGAAGCGGUACCAUAAGAAAAAGCCCCGGCUAACUACGUGCCAGCCGCCGCGGUAAUAC